CCCUUAGAUGUUCUGGGCCGCACGCGUGCUACACUGAGUGGAUCAGCGGGUCAGGUUGCGCGAAAGUGUUUCCUAAUCUUUAAAUCCGCUCGUGAUGGGGAUUGACGGUUGCAAUUUUCCGUCAUGAACGAGGAAUACCUUGUAAGCGCGGGUCAUCAUCCUGCGCUGAAUACGUCCCUGCCCUUUGUACACACCGCCCGUCGCUCCUACCGAUUGAGUGGUCCGGUGAGGCUUUGGGAUCUGAGCGGAAAGAGCGUUUCGCUGUUUCUGCCCGGAAAACUCAGUCGAACCUUAUCAUUUAGAGGAAGGAGAAGUCGUAACA
rnacentral:rRNA from 1 species